rnacentral:snRNA from 1 species
UUCAGACAGAUGGGCAAUCUGAG